GAAAUGCGAUAAGUAGUGUGAAUUGCAGAAUUCAGUGAAUCAUCGAAUCUUUGAACGCACAUUGCGGCCAUAGGUAUUCCUUUGGCCAUGCCUGUUCGAGCGUCAUUUACACCCUCAAGCCUAGCUUGGUGUUGGGCGUCUGUCCCGCCGAUUCUCGCGCGCGGACUCGCCUCAAAGUCAUUGGCCGCGGUCGUGCCAGCCCCCUCGCGCAGCACAUUUUGCGCUUCUCGGAGGCUCGGCGGAUCCCGCGCUCCAGCAAGGACCAUUCACGACUUGACCUCGGAUCAGGUAGGAGUACCCGCUGAACUUAAGC
rnacentral:misc_RNA from 1 species